GUGGGGAAUUUUGGACAAUGGGGGCAACCCUGAUCCAGCCAUGCCGCGUGUCUGAAGAAGGCCUUCGGGUUGUAAAGGACUUUUGUUAGGGAGCAAGUCCUGCAGGUUAAGAGCUAGUAGGGAUGAGAGUACCUAAAGAAUAAGCACCGGCUAACUACGUGCCAGCAGCCGCGGUAAUACGUAGGGUGCAAGCGUUAAUCGGAAUUACUGGGCGUAAAGGGUGCGCAGGCGGUAUUGUAAGCCAGAUGUGAAAUCCCCGGGCUCAACCUGGGAACUGCGUUUGGAACUGCAAUGCUAGAGUGUGUCAGAGGGGGGUGGAAUUCCACGUGUAGCAGUGAAAUGCGUAGAGAUGUGGAGGAACACCGAUGGCGAAGGCAGCCCCCUGGGAUAACACUGACGCUCAGGCACGAAAGCGUGGGGAGCAAACAGGAUUAGAUACCCGGGUAGUCC
rnacentral:rRNA from 1 species